CGAAGCACCCACGUGGGCAGAGGUUCCCCUGGAUGCUGGCCUCACUGCUGCCUAAUUCAUACAACUCAGCUGGGGUACAGACAGUGUACGAAGUGCUGCGUUCUGGUGGGGGAUCCCUGAGCCUGUCCUUGGGGCCCCAGUGACCAUUCAUAAUCUACUUUCUGAUGGACCACUAGGCGAACCCUCAAUGGGGGUUCUUCCACCUGAGUAUCAGAUCGAGUGGGGGUCUCUGGCCUUGACAAUGGACCCAGGCCUGCACUCACAGCAGCCUCUCAUUCUUUUUCCAGUCUCUGAAGCCGGGCCUUUAGGAGCCCCACCUGUGCUUGGAGGUCCCCAUUCCUGGCAGGUUCUAACUCUUUUUCUGAGCUGUGUAGCCCAGCCCCCAGGUCCCUACCUGUGACUAGGGGCCCUUACCUGCAUCCCUCAUGGAUUGGAUGUGUACUUCUUACAGUGAAGUCACAAAUGCCCAUCCAACUCUUCUGGCAAAACCUUGCUCCUUCUUGCUACUCUGCGCUUCCAGCUGCUUCAGUGCCUUCUCAAUGCUUGCCGGAAACCCAUCUACUAGCAACCAGGUUUCCACCAGAGCCCAUCUGAGCAGCACAGCUGUCACCAGAUACCACAACCCACGUUGCAGCCACAUGGCUGACCCAGAAUCAGCAGGAACCAAAGGCUCAUUCACCUCGGAAUCCUGGUUGUGAUACCAAUUGUCACUGAGGCCUGAGGGGAGUCAGUGGAUUAUGGAAUCCAAAAUUGUCUGAGUGUGCCUAAAUAAUCAUGGACAAAGUAAAAUAAGGACAUUGACUCUCCACAAUGUAAAAUUUGAGAGAAGAAAAAGCCCCUAUGGUUUUAAUUGGGCAUAUGACCAUCUAUAUCAUUUUGGGUCCUCUGGAAAGCAAAUGCCAAGGUAGAAUUCCAUGUAAGAGAGAUUUCACUUCCAGACCAAGAGGAAAAAUAUCAGUAGUUGACAAGGAUCACUUUCUGAUCCUGAUACAGUGUAAUAUCUGUGAAAGGACAAAUGGAGGUAAG